UUGCAUCAUGAUUUACAUUUGAGUGAGUGGCGAACUGGUGAGUAACACGUGGGAAACCUGCCCAGAAGCGGGGGAUAACACCUGGAAACAGAUGCUAAUACCGCAUAACAACUUGGACCGCAUGGUCCGAGUUUGAAAGAUGGCUUCGGCUAUCACUUUUGGAUGGUCCCGCGGCGUAUUAGCUAGAUGGUGGGGUAACGGCUCACCAUGGCAAUGAUACGUAGCCGACCUGAGAGGGUAAUCGGCCACAUUGGGACUGAGACACGGCCCAAACUCCUACGGGAGGCAGCAGUAGGGAAUCUUCCACAAUGGACGAAAGUCUGAUGGAGCAACGCCGCGUGAGUGAAGAAGGGUUUCGGCUCGUAAAACUCUGUUGUUAAAGAAGAACAUAUCUGAGAGUAACUGUUCAGGUAUUGACGGUAUUUAACCAGAAAGCCACGGCUAACUACGUGCCAGCAGCCGCGGUAAUACGUAGGUGGCAAGCGUUGUCCGGAUUUAUUGGGCGUAAAGCGAGCGCAGGCGGUUUUUUAAGUCUGAUGUGAAAGCCUUCGGCUCAACCGAAGAAGUGCAUCGGAAACUGGGAAACUUGAGUGCAGAAGAGGACAGUGGAACUCCAUGUGUAGCGGUGAAAUGCGUAGAUAUAUGGAAGAACACCAGUGGCGAAGGCGGCUGUCUGGUCUGUAACUGACGCUGAGGCUCGAAAGUAUGGGUAGCAAACAGGAUUAGAUACCCUGGUAGUCCAUACCGUAAACGAUGAAUGCUAAGUGUUGGAGGGUUUCCGCCCUUCAGUGCUGCAGCUAACGCAUUAAGCAUUCCGCCUGGGGAGUACGGCCGCAAGGCUGAAACUCAAAGGAAUUGACGGGGGCCCGCACAAGCGGUGGAGCAUGUGGUUUAAUUCGAAGCUACGCGAAGAACCUUACCAGGUCUUGACAUACUAUGCAAAUCUAAGAGAUUAGACGUUCCCUUCGGGGACAUGGAUACAGGUGGUGCAUGGUUGUCGUCAGCUCGUGUCGUGAGAUGUUGGGUUAAGUCCCGCAACGAGCGCAACCCUUAUUAUCAGUUGCCAGCAUUAAGUUGGGCACUCUGGUGAGACUGCCGGUGACAAACCGGAGGAAGGUGGGGAUGACGUCAAAUCAUCAUGCCCCUUAUGACCUGGGCUACACACGUGCUACAAUGGAUGGUACAACGAGUUGCGAACUCGCGAGAGUAAGCUAAUCUCUUAAAGCCAUUCUCAGUUCGGAUUGUAGGCUGCAACUCGCCUACAUGAAGUCGGAAUCGCUAGUAAUCGCGGAUCAGCAUGCCGCGGUGAAUACGUUCCCGGGCCUUGUACACACCGCCCGUCACACCAUGAGAGUUUGUAA
rnacentral:rRNA from 2 species